rnacentral:lncRNA from 1 species
AGCCUGCAGUGGUCACGUGGUACAAGUCGUAGCUCUCAGAAAACUCCCAGUUCAUGAGUUGUCAUUAGGAGUUCUACGAGGACGUGAACGCUUUUUAGAAGUUGGAAUCUCGUAAUUACGGGAAUUCCGAUAUGGCGUGAACGCAGCAUUAGUUAAUCACUUGAUGGGUGUUUAUAUUCGCUUAACCAAAAUCAAAACAAGCAAACUACACAGUGCAACAGACGAGUGGGAAAUCAAAGACUGGAAUGCUGGGAGAACGCUGGGGAAACUGACAAAGGGGUGAGCUCUGGAAAGGAGGACGGAUACUUCCUGUUCCUGCUGGAGUGACCUGCAGGUCUGAGGAGGAGUGAGGGAGAGGAAGGCAGAGAAAGCGAUACCCUGUGAAACCUGCUGGUGUAAACUUACCUCUGAUUGGGACUCACUGAUGUAAUGGACAAACAAGCACAAAAUGUGUCGAUACCCACAUCAAAUCUCCCAGACUUCUGGAAACCACUUGUGUUCAAUAAUAUGCCCCGGAUAGGUGAAGGCCUGCCUCAUAUGGAGCAACUUUUUAAUUUCAAAGGGAGUGACACAUCCUCU